rnacentral:RNase_P_RNA from 1 species
AGCAGUCCUUGUUCUAUCGCUGGUAGAUUUUUUUCUACGAGAGGAAAGUCCGGGCAACAUAGAGCACCAUACUACCUAACGGGUAGGCAAUAAUUAUUUUAUUGACAGCAAGUGCCACAGAAAAUUACCGCCUUAAUUUUGUUAAGGUAAGGGUGAAAAUGUGAGGUAAGAGCUCACACAAGGGUAUAGUGAUAUUCUCUUGGGGUAAACCUUAUGGGUUGAAAGACCAAAUAUAUUAGUCUUAGAGUUGCUCGCUCGUUAUGGCUAAGGGGUAGGUCGUUGGAGGCUUAUUGUGAAGUAAGUCCUAGAUUAAUGAUAGAAACCUUCUUUUGAAGGUACAGAACCCGGCUUAUAGAGGAUUGCUUUGU